CUUCUUAUUGUAAUAAAACCCUCCCCUAAUUCCCACCUAUCACCUCUCUCUCUCUCUCUCUCUUUCUCGCCCCCGCCCCCCAUUCCAUGACUUUCCUGCUUCCCGACGCGAUGCGGAAGAAGAAGAAGCCCCGGUGGACGGCAGAGCCCUCGCUUGCCUCCGCCGACUCUGCUGGCGCCGGCGAUUCCUCCUCGUCCGCCGCCGCUGGUGCGGACCGCCUCACCGAUCUGCCGGACGCCCUCCGCCUCCACAUCCUCUCCUUCCUCCCCCUCAAGUAUGCUGUCCGCACCGGCGUCCUCUCCCGCGACUGGCGCAACCUCUGGAAGUACCGCUGGCCGCACCCCUCCUCCCUCGACCUCUCCGUUGCCGCCGGCGAGCGCCCGGAGGACUUCCUCGACCGCGUCGGCUGCUGCCUCCGGCACCGCGGCCGGCGGCGCCUCGACGUCCUCCGGAUCGCCUUUCACCCGGGCCUCCGCCACGGCCCGGAAGUCAUCCGCUGGCUCGAGUACGCCUCCGCCUGCGGCGUCGAGGACCUCCACGUUGACCUUUCCCCUCCUCCCCCAUCACCUGCCCCCGUCGGCCGCCGCCGCCCCCCUCGCCGCGACUUUUUCCACCUCUGCGAGAGCCCCAACCUCUCUCGCCUCACCGUUUGCGGAUUUCACCUCUCCUGCCCCGCCGCCCAUUUCAAGCGCCUCUCCUCUCUCGAGAUCCUCUGCCUCCACAGCAUCUCCAUCACCGACGCCGCUCUGAGGAGGAUCAUCGCCGCCUGUCCGCGGCUCCGUUCGCUCGAUCUCCGGUACUGCCGGGACCUCCGGCGGAUCGCCAUCCCAGCUUCCGGUUUCCGGCUCGCGAGCCUCACCAUAGUUCACUGCCCCAAGGUCUCCGAGCUCACCGUCUCGGCCCCAGGCCUCCGGUCCUUCCGAUUCAGUGGUGCUUAUCUCACCAGUUACUGCCUCGAUAACUCUUCGGGGCUGGAGGAUGUGUACAUGAGCUCCGGCGGCCUGGGUUCGGGGCUUCCUCGGAGCAAUUGGGUGAAGGCCAUCGGCAGGCUCUCCAAUGUUAAAGUCCUGACCCUUUGCAGCCUUUCGCUUCAGUAUAUUACUGUCUCGGGGGCGAAUGCAAUUGAGGAAUUCAGGAACUUCCGAAACCUGAGAGAAUUGCAGCUGCUGAUGGUGAUGAUGACGGACAGCAACCUUACAGAUAUCUACAGCUUCUUUACUCUUUGCCGGUGUCCAAGCUUGGAAAGGCUUUUCAUAGAGCUUCCAACCAAUAUGUAUGAUCCCUAUAUGGAGAAAUACUUGGAGGUGGUCGAGGAGAAACCUCCAGAGGUUGCUUUCGAAAAUCUCAAGGUCAUAAAGAUGAAUAACUUCAAGGGGCACAACAAUGAGAUUGAACUGGUGAGAUUUUUGUUGGGGAGGGCUGCCUAUCUUGAGUCUUUAUCCAUAGUUACUUUUCAAGAAUUUGAGAUGGAUGAGGUGAAUUAUUAUUCUGGUAUGCUGCAAUUUCUCCGUGACCAGCUGUCAUACUUGACGAAGGCAUCGGUGAAUGCUAAAAUAGUUAUGACUGAGAAUGAUGAUAAGAAGUUACGCCCAACACAUUCUGAAAUCUAUAUUAAAGUCUAACUCACCGUAAGGAGAGUUAUUACAGGUCGGAUCUGGCUAUUGUCCUGUCAGUUUCUUUUGUUCCCAAUUAUUAUACUCUUUACUUGAUCUGCAUUUUGCUUUUGAAAGCUGAUGAAAGUGAAAUUUUUAUAUGCCCUGUGCUAUUAUAGAGUUAGUGUAGGUCCAAACCGCUGAUACCAUUUUGUAAACCCCUUUCUGUUGUCACAUUGACAUCUAUAUAAAAGAUGAAUGUAAAUUAAUGGUUGUGAAAGUGCACAUAUAGGAAGUUUGUUCAACAAAUAUCCUAUGAGGUUGGUCUUCAGCAAAUGUUUCGCCAAAGACUUGCAGGUAUAGGGGAGAGGCCACAGAUGUUCCUGCAAAGGCUUUUCAGAAAUGCUGCAUUACUUGUUCACUUGAUGCCCACAGUAGAGGUCUGAUUUUGGAAAAUUUUAUCAAAAAGACAGUGAUGUUUUGUCAAAUUCUGUUAUAUUUUUUAAUUUUAGAUAAGAAGUAUAUAAGUUAAGUCUGAUCUCGUGAUAUUGGUAAACAAAUUCCACUGUAAAAAUAUCUGGAUAAGAGACCAAGCUAUAACCUAGUAAAGUCCAAGCCUUUGCACUAUCCCCACAAUUUAAAUUCUAGAGGAAGCAGAAAAGAUUAAAUGAAGUGAUACAUAUUGAAUUCAUGGGAGAGGGUGAUGCUAUAUAUGAAGCUACAUAAGCAAUUACUCUCCCAACUCAUUUGUCAAACAAUUAUUUUAACAACCUAAAAACUACAAUGCUAUACUAUUAUGAUCUGAACCCAUAACAAAAUCUUGUCGUGGAAAUUGUCCCUAUUUCUGAGGAUUAUAAUGACAAAAUUAGUCAAAACUUGUAAAACAAAUGAUUGGGCCUUAAAAUCUUUCAUUCUAAAGCAUAUUAUGUACAUCAAAUUACUGUUAGCAGAAAGGCAAUCGAAUUAAAAGCUGUGAAGUUAAAUCUGAAAUGAUUUCAGUGACUCCACAAUUACUUUAAGCAAAUAACAGAAGAAAAAUAUUCUUGCAAAAAUCAAACAACUAUACUCCAGUUUAUCCUCCUUAUUCUUCCAUUUCAUCAUCCUGUCUCAGCAUAUUUGACACAACCACCAGAUCCCGAGCUUCAUGGAAUUAACAAAUUGACUUAAUCUUUAAAAAUACAUAAUCUUCUUCUAAUCAACUUUUUCCUAGGCUUCAGUGCAUUCUGUUGUCCUGUAUGAUGAAAAUUAUAUGCAGACUCCCGUAACUCUAUUAUAGCAUGCCUUUCCAUUUACCAUUCCCCCUCAUAGUAUCUGUCCCCCUUUUAUCCCAAGGCUUAUUGGCACAUGAGCCUGCUAUACCAAAUUGAGUGUCGAAUUAGUUAACAAUUUGGAAGGUAAAAAAGGAAUUGUGGUUGCACCAUUAUUCCAUGAUGGAUUUACUGAUGUUAGUUAAUCAAGGUAGGCCAAAUUUGUCUUCUAAGGAUUCACUAAUAAAAACUCACCCACUGACCACCAACAACGGAAGUUACUACUCAUGCUAGUCAAAUAUUCGCCAAGUUUCAUAUUCCUCUCAUCAAAAAUUAACUUCUGGUCCUUCAUGCCUUUUCCAUCUACAUGGUCUUCUAUUCAGGUCGUCUAAUUUUGUUGUAACAGAUAUUUUGAUUGAAAUCUGGUACUCCUAGCAAUUAUUUAGAAGCCGUGUUGUGCCGUGAGACCUUUCUGUCAAUCAGCAUGAUAGGCAUCCUGAUUCAAACAUCAUUCUAAUGGAAUAAAAAGCCUUGAUGGAAAUCAUAUCCAAAACUGCCAUCCCCUUGUUAUAAACAAUUGAAUCUAUGUAGCAAUGGUUGUCCAACAGCAGGCGUCUUCCCUUUGAAAGAGUCUUAAUUCUUUCUAGAACCAGUUUGUCUACAUCUUUUUCUUUUAUGCUUUACUCAAUCAUAUAUGCUAUUGCCUUCAAAUUUCAAGAAGAAAGUGUAAUAGCUGAUGCCUUGUGAAUAUUGUCUUGCCUCACUAUCUUUGUUCAUAUAAACCUUAACAUUAUUCUUCUGUAGCAAUCAAGUUUACUCCAACUCAACUCUUUUUCAGCUGGAUUGUUUGGCUCAUAUGCAUUCUAGGGACAACAAAACUCCUUAUGUUGAGGAGCUUGACAACAACAUGUAUUAUGGUUAUUGGGAUUUCUUUUGGAUUGUCUUUGAAGAUUUUGUAAUACAAUGUUGUUGCUCUACUUUACCUUCAAAAAUGGAAUGAGUGUUCGAUAUAGGGGAUAGGAUCCAUCUGCUCUCUCUCUAAAUUUUUUUUGCUUCAAUUUAGAGAGAAAGAGCAGAUAUUUCUAUAUCAAAAAAAAAAGAAAAUCGGGAGAUGAUUAAAUAAUAGAUACAUAGACAUCUAAAGGGAUGUAUAUUCGAUUCCUAAUUAAAUUUGCAAGGGCAUUAAAUCACCAUGCUACUGUCUGCUAUACCCAGAAUUAACAGCUUCCUAUGCUUGGGGUCCUAACCAGUGUUAUGCUUUUCUUAGCCCAAACCGUAUAUUGAAACUUCAAUCCAACUGUUUAAUCCAGGAAAAUUUUUACUGUCUGGACGUCAUGAUAUAAUGAGUUUUUACAGGUUAUGGUGCUCAAUAUUUAUGGAUUGAUUUAUGAUCUUUCCAAAGCUUUAAAAUUCUCUCACUGAACCAUUUUCUGAAGCAUGAAGUCGUGUGAGUUUUCAUAUGCUCACAAGCUUCUAGAAAUCUGUUGUUAUUUCAUGUGCCCAUCAGUACCUUUGUUUUUUUCAUGUGUAAAACCAAAAUUUCUAUCAAUCAUGACAUUCUUGGGAAUUUGUAUCUUUCUUGAUAUUGUUGCAAAUUUCUUCAUAUUGUUGAACCAUCGCAUCCAGUACAGUGUUAGUACAUUCAAGUACUGGCAUUUGAUUAAAGCUUUUUCUAACAGCAAAUUGGUGCAGAUAUGUCAAAAAAAGUUAAAAAUAUGGUUCUCUGCUGUUACAUUUUUUGAAGAACGUCAUAUUUAAAAUUAGUUUUAAUGGGAAAAUUAAAUCAAAUAAAGGUCUGCUGUGGCCCUGUCUUCUCUCUUGAAGUUAAGAGGAGGGAGAAGAUAAUAAAAACUUCUAUAAAUUCCAAUAGUUCUUAUGAAGAUGGCUGUUGAAUUACUGCCUUUGGCUGGAUGUAGGUAACAAACAGCAAAAAAUCCUUUUAAGAAAAUUCUUAAACUUACUCUAUUAUUGUUAAGCAACACUGUAACCUAAAUAGGACUAUGGAUUCUAGCCACAAUAUGCUUGGUUUUAUUGUGUAUAGUCCACUGUCUACUAUAAUCCCUUUAUAAGAUUCUAAUUUGACAUUCAAGGACCAUAAUUAUUAUUUUUAGCAAAAAAAAAAAGGACCAUAAUUAUUUACUUGAUGAUACCUUCAUAGUUAAAAUAUGCAGGGCAGGAGUUCGUUUGGGAAUGAGUACCAUCAUGCUUAUGACUGGCAUGCUUGCAUUGUGAUUUGACUGUUAUCAGAUGGCUAAAUAUUCUUACCAAAAAUUGGAUUUGAACUCUUAAUUAUUUUUUUUCCAUUAGUUCAAAACUAAAAGCAGGCAAACACAGGAGGGCAGGAACCAGCCCCAUAAUCUGGAAAGAAGACUAGCAGAAGGCACCUUGAGCUAUGCUCGUUGAAAUUCAGUGGUCGUGCUCCCUUUUUUUUCCAUCCUUGUCUGUUUUCUUCUUAGCCAGCUGGCUUUGUCAUUUUAAUUUUUGAACAAGCAAUGCAGGAAUGUUGGCAUCCGCCAAGUGAUAAUGUAAAGCUAACAAAGAGAACGAAUGAAUCAGCUCAGUGUCUGGUACUCAUGGACUGAUAUUCAAUGAUAGAAAUCAAAACAUAAAGCAGCAGCAGCAUGUAAGCUUUUGAUUUUGGCUCAAUUCAUAACUAUGGCUGAUGGGCUUGCCAAAGAGGGGCAUUGUGAUAACAGAAUUAUCUUCUCAUGAUGUUAUUUUCAAUGGAUUGGUUGUGGCUUGUUCCUCCCUAGUUCUGGUUUUAUUUAUUUAGCCACACAUUUUUGUGCCUCUCUUUCAGCUGCAAUCAAGGUUUUAUUUUGA